AGUGAGGUGAGUGGAGGAGAGAGGCAUUAGUGGCGGUUGCUAGAGAUUAGGAGAGGAGUUUGGUUUAUUGUUAUUUUUCCAGUUUCUUAUUUUGAUUUUAAUUUAUUACUUUUAUUUGAUUCAUUUGAUUUUAUUCACUUUUAUUUGGUUUAUUAUUUUACUUUUUUAUUUUAACACUUUUAUUUUACUUUUUGUUCUCUUCUCCCUUUCCCCUCCUUGCGCUUUGUGGACCUGCUGGCUUGAACAUGGGCAUCACACACAGGAACUGAAGUGGCACUUCCAUCAUCUGCUCUGGAGCUUCUGACAGAGACCCCCAAUGCUUCACACCUACUCCUCCUGCUUAACGUAAGUGUCCUGAUAGCAUCGGAGAUGAUAAAGGGAUGCCAGGGACUCCAUGGUGGGGGCAAUGGAGGGCCGCUUUGGCCCAGACUAGCCCCUGACCCUGAGAUGCUCUUUCCUCCUGCAGGACCUCUUAUGUUAUUCCAUAGAGGAAAGUGGGGAGCCAAAAAACCUGGCAGCCAACUGGCCUUUGCCCGAAAGUUCCCCCAUCUCAGAGUAAGUAGCUCUCCUUCAUGGAUUUAGUCCUUUGAAUCCUUCCAUUUCCCCAAGAGGCUCCCAAAGCUACUCAUCCUCUGCAGUUGAUAACAGACCUAACAGGGAAAAACGGCUUACUCUUCUGAUGACAUCAGAGAAUUCUAGAUGACAUCAACUCAUUCCAUACCGUUACGGAUGCAUGAUUCCCACAGACAAGUUUCUUGGCAAGACAAGGACCUUCGCUGGCCACUUGAGUGUCUUCUUCAGCAUCCCCAAAGAAUGAGCUGGGCUGCAAAAGCUGCACCAAAGGGAUGGGGCAACCCAGGCUAAAGGGGGUGGGGCUGUCCUCCCCCCACCCCCAAUCUCACCAGGCUGCUAGGUAGGAGAGCAAGAGCCAGAGAGAGUUGUGGGAGACACAGAGACCGGGUUGCUCUGUGCUGAAGUCAAAGCUGCAACUAAUGGAGAAGCAAGAUCUGCUGGGGUUGUCAAUGCUGUGAGCCCCUCCAUCCUAAAACCAUAUAUCAUAAAGACACCACAGUCUCUGCUGACCUUCAUUCCAGGGAAAUCAAAGACCCCUGGAGUCUCACCGCUCAGAGACUGGGGUAGUUUGCAAAUACAAACACAUACAUACACAAUAAUUUGUGCCUGUAUUCCUAACACAUGACUAAGCGUGAAGGGCAUGUUAUGUGCUUUAGCAACAGCCCACCUGUAAAUAAGGAAAUGCAGCCUCCGUUGCUGAUUUGUGAAAAAGCAAGAAAGCAAAUCUUCUCUGACUGUGGAGGCAGAGCAGAGACAUUCUGGCUGGUAGCCAUUGGUAACCAUCCCCUCUAUGAAUGUCUCUCAUCUUCUUAUGAAGCCGUGUGGAAGCCUGAGACAUUUUUCUGCCUUUGGCGACAGAGAAUCCUAGAACUGUAGGGCUGAAGGGACCCCAAGGGUCAUCUAGUCCACAUAUCCCCCUGAAAUGGAAGAAGGCAGUGCACACGUACACGGGUUCCAUGUACGGAGUCCAGCUGGAGGGGUGGCUGGGUUUUAUUCUAGCUCCACCAACUCUGGGGGCUGCAGACUAGCUUAGGGGGCUACAGUGCAGCCUGCAUGGCCCCCACAGGGCUCUCUCCUCCAGUCCCUUCCUGCUGCCCCCCCUACUUUAGCACCUGAAGCAGCCUCGUCUCCCUGCCUAACAGGAAGGCCAGCCCUUUCUCUCUUUCUUUGGCCUUUGCUAUAUCACAGGCCUAGAUGCUUAGCAAACAUUUUCGGGUAGCAGAGGCAGGGAGACAAAGACUGGCAACAGAAUCAGAAAGGGCACCAGGUUGGGAUUGGCAAAGCUCUCCGGCUUAACCAUCUUGUCAAUUGAAAACAAAGUAGCGAAAGGAAUUGAUUUUGAUGAUGUGAUUUCAAAAUUUGCAGAGAACAAAGUUGGCGGGGGGGGGGGGGAAGGUUUUAAGUGCUUAUGCUCACAAUGUUAAGUAAAUAAACCAGAAAGCAACAUUUUCAACUGUAAGUAUCUUAUUUCUCCUUUUAAGAAUUUCAAGCAGGGGGUGACAAGAAAUUUUCUGCACCAGGUACCAUCUGACCUUGCUACGCCACUGGUAUGAAAGGUUCCUUUGGGCCAGCUGUUUAGAGCACCAUAGACACACACCCUGCCACCCCCAUCUAGAGAGUUAGGCUGCAAAUGUCUGCCUGGAUCCUUCAAAGGUUUAUAUGGGUCAGAACAGAUAGUACUGUAGGGAUGGAGGAGUUGUGCCCCCUCGACCCUCUUUCCUUCUAUUCUCAGCUUUGCAUCCCACAAUGUCAGUGCUGCAAUUGUGCUAAACCAGGAGACUGUCACAUUGGGAUCUCUGCAAGGUCAUUGCACUCCUGUAUAGUUCAACACUUUCUGCCUUCUUCACAGCUGACCCAAAGGAAGUUGGAUGAUCUCCCUUCCUGUAAGGAAGAGCAAAUGCUGCCCUCUUGCGGCACAUGCUGGGAUUCCCCCUCCCCAGCUUCACUUUCCAAACCUGGUGUAGGACUCACCAACAGACGUCGGUCUUUAUUUGCUGUGUAUUUAUCCCAGCCUUCCUGCAAGGAGCACAGGGAAGCUGACAUAGUUCUCAUAACUCAACCCAGUGCAGUAGCUUAGCCUGGAUUAUAUACAUAGCUUCUUGAAUUUGAGCUCACAUGUCCCAGCUCCUAGCGCAUGGGUUUGUUGUUUUUGUCGAUGGAGUUUUCUUGGCAGGGAUACUGGAGUGGCUUGCCGCUUUCUCCUCCAGGUGGAUCACGUUUGGUCUAAACUCUCCACUAUGACCUGACCAUCUUGGGUGCCCUGCUCGGCAUAGUUCAUAGCUUCUCUGAGUUAUUCAAGCCCCUUUGCCACGGCAAGGCAGUGAUCCAUGAAGGGAAGGACAGAUCGUGAAGCUGAGACUCCAAUACUUUGGCCACCUCAUGAGAAGAGAAGACUCCCUGGAAAAGACCCCGAUGUUGGGAAAGAUGGGGGGCACAAGGAGAAGGGGAAGACAGAGGACGAGAUGGUUGGAUAGUGUUCUCAAAGCUAUCAGCAUAAGUCUGACCAAACUGCGGGAGGCAGUGGGAGACAGGAGUGCCUGGCGUGCUCUGGUCCAUGGGGUCACAAAGAGUCGGACACGACUAAAUGACUAAACAAAAACAACAAGCGCAUGGGUCAUCAAACGAAGGCCCGCAGGCCAGAUCAGGCCCAAUUGCCUUCUGAAUCCAGUCCGCGGACGGUCCAGGAAUUGCCUUGUGGAUCACCAGCACGCGUGUUCUUUCCUUCUCCCUCCCUCUCUCUCUCUCUCACAGUGGUGGUGGCACCUCCUCCCUCCCUCCUCCUGGCUUCUCCCCACCAUGCCUAGAGGAAGAAGGAAGCUGGGCUUUGUUGGUGCCAGCAGCAGCAGCACUCAAGCGGCUGCCAUUUUAAGCAGCCCCUCUCCAGAGCUCUUUCGCACGCUGCUUAUCGUCCCUCUGCUGCCGCCACUUCCAGCCCCUGCUGUUCGCAAGACACAGGUAAGCAGCUUCAAAAUAUAGUCCGGCCCUCCACAAGGUCUGAGGGACAGUGGACUGGCCCCCUACUGAAAAAGUUUGCUGACCCCUGUCCUAGCGCAUGUUGGCCACUACACUGGACUUGGCUCCCCAGUCACCUUUCAUCUGCCUCGCUCCCUGAAUGCAUCCUUCCCUAAAAUACUUUUUGUGCCACUUUAAGAACUAUGAGCGAACCUGAAAACUUACCCAGUAGGUUCAAUUCCAGUGGGGACCCAUUUUUUAAAAAUCAAAAUGUCAAAAAACAACAGCCACACACCAAUUGCCCUCUUAGCAGCGCAACCUGGGCUGCACCCAGGACUGCCUCAUCAGCACAAAUUUGCACCCUCCUGGAGCAAUUUCACCUGGCUGGAAUGUGGCCUUGAGCUCUGAUGUUGCCUCCUUUUUACCUGGUGGAUAGAAAAGGGCAUGUGAGUGAAUGUAGGAACUAGCCUACUGGGUAAAGUUACAUUUUAGAUUAGAUGCUCUACAACAGGGGUCAGCAAACUUUUUUAGCAGGGGGCUGGUCCAGUGUCCGUCAGACCUUGUGAGGGGGCCGGACUAUAUUUUUUUGGGGGGAAAUGAAUGAAUUCCUAUGCCCCACAAUUAACCCAGUGAUGCAUUUUAAAUAAAAGCACACAUUCCACUCAUGUAAAAACUGUUGGGAUACUGCCAGGGAGACAAAGUCCAUCAUGGCCCCCAAGCCGCCUCCGGACGUCCAUCGAUCUCCCGUAGACAUGCAGUAUCAUUCAAUUAGCGACACGAGCUCCAGAAAUAGCUUGCCACAUUCCAGAGCUGAUGCAUGCUCAAUCAGCAGAUAAUGCACAGCGAAAGAUGCACUCAGGAGAGUAUAUUUACAACUUUAUUCAGCGUUGGUCAGAACAAAAAGAAAACAUGACUGCCUGCUUCAGUGUCUCAGACACACAGAGAGAAAUGAAAGCAUAGACACAACAGAAACAUCCUGUGAACAGGAAAUACGCAGGCUGUGACACAAACAUCCUGCUCCCUUUUAAGGUGGAACGGAAAUAUCCUAACAAAAACACGCUGAUUCCCGGACCGUCCAUGAGCCAGAUUUAGGAGAUGAUUGGGCCGGAUCCGGCCCCCGGGCCUUAGUUUGCCUACCCAUGGUCUACAAGACCCACUGGCACUCUUGUGACCUGAAACUCACUGUUGUGUCUUUGUCAGCUUGGCCAGCAGAUGGAGCACAUUUCACAAAAUAUGGUGAAGUUACAAGUGAGUUACAAGGAACAUCGGAAGAGCCUUCUGGAUCAGGCCAGUGACCCAUUUACACCAGCAUCCUGUUCACACAGUGGCCAACCAGAUGCCUGAGGGGAACCUACAAGUAGGACCUGAGCACAAGAGCCCUUUCAACUCCUGUGGUUUCUGACAGUGGAGGCAGAGUAUAGUCAUCAUGGCUAGUAGCCAUGUAUAGCCUUCUCCUCCAUGAAUUUGUCUAAUCCUCUUUUAAAACCACCCAAGUUUGUGGCCAUCACCACCUCCUGUGCGAGUGAGUUCCGUAGUUUAACUAUGUGCUGCAUGAAGAAGUGUUUUCUUUUUAACUUGCUUCCUCUAUCCUCAGAAGGUUUGGGGAAAUAUAUCCCUUUCAGUUUGACAUAUUUCCGCAUCAGUUCAUGAUUUAUUGUCUUGUUGUUUUUAGUCAGCAUUCUCGUCAGCAAUUCUGCAAGUAUACACAUUUUUGCAAGUGAUAGCCCCUAACGUCGUGCAGUUUUGCAUAUCAUUUUCACCAGCAUAUGCAUCUUUGUGAACACUUUCCCUACAAUAUAUGCACUUAAAAAGGUAAAGGGACCCCUGGCCAUUAGGUCCAGUCGUGGCCGACUCUGGGGUUGCGGCGCUCAUCUCGCUUUAUUGGCCGAGGGAGCCGGUGUACAGCUUCCAGGUCAUGUGGCCAGCAUGACUAAGCCGCUUCUGGCGAACCAGAGCAGCGCACGGAAACGCCGUUUACCUUCCCGCCGGAGUGGUACCUAUUUAUCUACUUGCACUUCGUGCUUUUGAACUGCUAGGUUGGCAGGAGCAGAAAUCGAGCAAUGGGAGCUCACCCCGUCACGGGGAUUCGAACCACCACCCGCAUCCCUUAAUAUAUGCUCUUAUGUGCAUGUUAAUUUUGCGUCACAAAAUUCAGGCACUUGCAAAUCGGUCGGCAUUUUAAUGCAAAUCUCUUCCAACACUCACAUUUUUGCAUGCAGUUGUCAUGGACGGGCUGGAUGCAGAGGACUGGGGGGGAGGCACCAGCUGGGGAACCCUGAAGGGAAUCCUCAGAGGAAGAAGGCUCCGAAACCAGGUGAUUGGUGGUGGGACGAUGAUGAGUGGUCAGAGGAAGUAGAGGCAGCAAACUGGGAGGAAGAGGUGUCAGAAGCUGAAGGCAUAACAGGAUUUAGUGAGAGGGAAGAGGCUGGGGCAGAGAGCAGUCCAGCAUCAGAGGCAGAAGCAGAGCGGGGUCAAGAGGCAGAGUGGAGGCAGGCUGCUGAAGAAGCCAGGGAGUCUCCCUUUCCUGAUGCAUCCAACUCCCUUCCUGUCUGGUCUCCCAGAACAUGUGGAGAGAUGAAGAGGGUGGAGCAAAGAGAGACAAGGCAAACUAGCCUUAGACUGCUGGGGAAGGAACUGGGAGGAGCCUUAGAGAACGGUGGGAAGGCAGGGACCUUCAGUCCUUGCAACUGCCUCAUUGCAGCAACACCUAUUGGGAAGAGUUGCUGUGGUCGCUAGGCCUGCGUUGCAUGUGCAUUCUGUAGUUGACCUCCUUUGCAAUGUUUUAGUUUGAAAUCUUUAAGAUAACAUUUCAGUUUCCUGUUCCUUACGGUGCACCAAAUGCAUGCUUUAUAUUUGGCUUUCGUCAGUAAUGUUUUGUUCUGGAUUGUGUCAUUUGAUAUUUGCACGUGUUGCAAACAGACUUGAGAUUCCCCACCCCCCUUAAAAUAAAGUGGGGCAGAAAUGAAAUGAAUAAUAAUAAAACUAGAAUACGAUGCGUCAAAGGCCCACCAUGACAGAAACCAUGCAAUGGAGCAAGGAUGACUUGAGCUCAUAAGCUUAUCUCGGGUGCAACCAAAGUUGUAUAAUCUGACUCCUGCACACUCAGCAACUUGGUGGGAAAUACCUCAAAACACAUGGGCUUCGGUCAUGUAUAGAAAUAGCAUUCCUGCAUAAGCUGAUUUAAUCAUUUUUUUUUUGCAGAUCAACUAAGUCUGAGUCAGCACCUUUUAACUCUUCUGCUCUUCGCUACCCCUGCCAAACUUGGUAGAAAAAUAGACUAAGCAAAUCCUUCCUUGGCAGAUAAGACCAAUUCCUGUCAGCGAGGUUUUGAGACAACUUAAAGGUGUGAUAUGCUGGCAAUGAAAUGGUGCAUGCUAUCUUGUACUUUUAAAUUGAAUCUUUCCAUGUUUUGUAUUUUAUAGCUUUGUUAACUGCUUAGAGGUUUUCUUACAAACCAGCGGUAUACUAAUUUUGUUAAUUAAAAUACAGUGGUACCUCAGGUUA